UACGUAGGUGGCAAGCGUUGUCCGGAAUUAUUGGGCGUAAAGGGCUCGUAGGCGGUCUGUUGCGUCAGGAGUGAAAACUCGGGGCUUAACCCCGAGCCUGCUUCUGAUACGGGCAGACUAGAGGUAUGCAGGGGAGAACGGAAUUCCUGGUGUAGCGGUGAAAUGCGCAGAUAUCAGGAGGAAGGCCAGUGGCGAAGGCGAGUCUCUGGACAGUUACUGACGCUGAGGAGCGAAAGCGUGGGGAGCGAACAGG
rnacentral:rRNA from 1 species